AAUCAUACUGAGAAUUUCUAUAAAACUAUAGAACCUUUCAUGCUAAAACUAGUAACAAGAGGUAACCCCUCUCUACAAUACAGGUAUACGCCAGCAAGAACCCAUCACUGGCAACUAACAGGUCUAAAUAAAAGUAGCAACUUCCCAAGAAAACCCUACCCCACCCAACUGUUAACCUUAUACCAGAACAUUUCAAGAAGGAUUAAAAGGGAAAGAAGGAAUUCGGCAAACAUUAGUCCCGCCUGUUUACCAAAAACAUCGCCUCUUGCCCCCAUAAGAGGUCUAGCCUGCCCAGUGACUUCUGUUCAACGGCCGCGGUAUCCUAACCGUGCAAAGGUAGCGUAAUCACUUGUCCCCUAAAUAGAGACCAGUAUGAAAGGCAUCACGAGGAUUAAACUGUCUCCUCUCCCUAAUCAGUGAACCUAAUAGCCCCGUGAAGAAGCGGGGAUUUUUAUAUAAGACGAGAAGACCCUAUGGAGCUUAAAACAUCAUACACCUGCCACACAUCUUACUUACCCCGGUUCCCCACCCCGUGGCACCCUGAUUAUAUGUUUUUGGUUGGGGUGACCGCGGA
rnacentral:rRNA from 1 species